rnacentral:tRNA from 1 species
GAGAGGUCUGUAUAUACAAGAAAAUCCUGCUAACUUUUUCAACCAGGGCUUACCCCCUGGGCCCCUCA